rnacentral:rRNA from 1 species
GGGUCAGUAGGUUGGUCGUGCCACUGGUACGUACUGGUCUCACUGAUUCCUCCUUCCUGAAGAACCGUAAUGCCAUUAAUUUGGUGUUGCGGGGAAACAGGACUGUUACUUUGAAAAAAUUAGAGUGUUUAAAGCAAGCUAACGCUUGAAUACAUUAGCAUGGAAUAAUGAAAUAGGACGAUCGAUCCUAUUUUGUUGGUUUCUAGGAUUGACAUA